CCAGGGGUGACCCGGCCCGUUUGCGGUGCCGCAGGAGGUGGUGCAGACACGGAGUUUCCACGAGCUGUCGGCCGCGGCGCUGGUGGCCGUGCUGCGCAGCGACCGGCUGGCCAUCGACGAACCGGACCUGAUCCAGGCUGUGCGGGAAUGGGCCCACGUCAGCUCGGCUGUCCUGGAGCGGCCGGUGGCCGAGGUGGCAGCGGGGCCGGUGCGUGAGCUCCGCCUGCCUCUGCUCGCGCCCCGCGAGCUGGCAGCCCUGGAGAGCCACAACCAGAGGGAUCCUCUCAUCCCGGUCGAGUGCAUCGCUGAGGCCUGGAAGUGCCACGCGCUGAGGAAGGGGAGCGGGGCGCCAUCCCGUCUGUGCCAGCGCCGCAGGGGCACCCAGCCCCGGGAGCACCACGGCUACCUCGAGUGAGGGGGUAGCAGCCAGCGGCGGGCGCCGGGGGGCAGGGAGAGUCUGUUCCUUCAUCUCCAGGAGGAGUGACGGGGCAAAGCGCAUUUCCCAGGAUGCCGCUGGCCUUGUGCACCCGUCGUGCCAGAGCCGGGGGCAGGCCUGGCCCAUCCCAGCCAGAGCCGGGCCAGGCUCAGGGCGGCCAUGGUCCUGCGUGGGGGGGCCGGGCUGAGACGGGGGCUGCCCACAACACUCCCCCUUGCCCGAGUUUGCUGCGUGGGCCGGGCAGGCUGCCC